AUGGGUCUCUAUGUGUUUCUAUGGGUCUCUAUGGGUCUUUAUGGGUCCCUAGGGGUCUCUAUGGGGUCCCUAGGGGUCUCUAUGGGUCCCUGUGGGGUGUCUAUGGGUCUCUAUGGGUCCCUAUAGGUCUCUGUGGGUCUAUGUGGGGUCCCUAUGGGUCCCUAUGGGUCUCUAUGGGUCUCUAGGGGGUCUCUAGGGGUCUCUAUGGGUCCCUAUGGGGCUCUGUGGGUCCCUAUGGGGCUCAAUGGGACCCCCACGUGGCUCUGCGGGGCCCCCCCCGCUCUGUGGGGCAUCUGUGGGUCGCGCUGUGGGUCACGUCGGGGUCCUCCCGUGGGUCACAUCGGGGUCCUCCCGUGGGUCGCCCCCCAGAUCUGGCCGAGGCCCGCGCGUCGCAAAACGCCGAGAGACGGGAGUGGCACCGCCGGAACCACCUGACCCUGGCGGCCAAGGGGCCGCUCCGGCAGACGUUCUCGCAGAACCCGUUGGCGCCGCCCGCUGCUCCCGCGACGCCCGCGGCGCCGAAGCGGCCGUGGAAGGAAACGUUGGGGUGAAAAGAACGGCAGUAAAAGCUCGAGACUCGAAAUCCGCUUUUUUUUCUUUUUUUUUUCCCCUUUCAUUUCGGGCGUUUCCGGUCCGCGGGCGGCAAAAUGGCGGCGUCCCAACGGGCGCUUCCGGUGAGGGGCUGUCAACAUGGCGGCGUCCAGGCUGGCGCUUCCGGUGCUGGUCUGUCGAAGCGGUGGCGUGGCAAUUGAGCUUCCGGUCGCAUGGCGGCGUCAUCUAAUUAAAAAUCCUAUGUACGGGGGAGGAGGGGCUAAUAUGGCCGCCCCCACGUCUGUGGUUCAGAUGGCGGAGAUGUCAGCGUGAGACGGCCACUUGGAGGACGCCAUAUUGCGGCCGCCAUGUUGAAUCGACGCCACUUCCGCCUUGAAUCGGAAAUACCGCGCUCUGAUUGGCUACCGCCUGCGUUGAAACGGAAAAGGGGAGUGCUCAGCAAUACGCAUGCGCGGCCCCGCCCCUUCUCUCAAGGCAUUGGCUGCGCCGAGCGGAAAGGGCGGGGCCUCGGGGAAAGCGCGCGGAGAGAGCGAGUUUGGGGCGAAAAAGGGCGAAAUUGGGGCCGGGUGCUGAAGCUGGGGGCCCUGCAGCGGAUCUGGGAGGAAAAAAGGGAAUUCUUGGCAUAAAAAGGGAACUUUGAAGCGGAAAAAGGGGAAUUUUGGGGGUAAAAAGGGGAAAAUUUGGGGGAAAUAGGGGAAAAUUGCGGGGGGAAAAGGGGAAUUUUGUGGGGGUCCAAGGGCGCCAUCUUGGGACCGGAAGUGCCGCCAUGGAAGCGGAAGUGGAGCUGCUGGCCCCGCAGUGGCCCCACCCCCUCCUGGAAAAGCUCCGCCUCCACCCCGGCCUCAGCCAAUUAGCGGCAGCGCUGGAGGAGAAAGGACCAAUCCCAGCGCAGGGGCGGGACUUGCGGCAGGCGGAGGCGGGGCUUGCGCGGAGCCGCGCCGCGUGGUUGGCCCAGGAGGCGCUGUGGGCGGGGCUACAGGAGCUGCUGCGCAAGCCCCGCCCCCCCGGUGCAGACCAGGUGAGUUGGGGGAUUUGCCACCAA